rnacentral:lncRNA from 1 species
AUCCUCCAUCUCAAAUACUAACUCCCUCAAAACCUAUAUCACCUUCCUCAAACCUCACAUUCUUUCUUAUUUUCCUCUUUUAUUUUCAGUAAUGGACAUGGUUUGCUUAAUCUAUUGCAGUUCAUCCCUUUAUUAAGUAGGAUCAAGGUUCUGGGCACCCUCAGUCUUCAAUAGUUCAACAUGAGGAACAUGGGAAACAUUCAACAACACCAGUGUUUGCUUUCUUAUUUUUGUUCUUUUUUUGUUUCCUUUCUUAGGUCCAGUCUUCCUUUCAUGAUCC